AGGAGGGUGACACUCUGGACAAGUUGCCCUCUCAUUGUAGGGCCAACACAGAUAAACAGACAACAUUCACAGUCACAUUCAAGAGUGGGCAUGGCAUGCACCUGGCAAGUUGGAUGCCAGUUACAGUACAUACAGUGUAAAUGAUGGCGGGAGCUGCCAUGCAAAGCGCUAACCAGAACCCAUCAGGAGCAAGGGUGAAGUGUCUUGCUCAAGGACACAACGGACGUGACUAGGAUGGUAGAAGGUAGGGAUUGAACCUGUAACCCUCAGAUUGCUGGCACGGCCACUCUCCGAACUUCGCCACGCCAUCCCCUUUGUGCACAUCACUAUC